rnacentral:tRNA from 1 species
GCAGUGGUGGUUCAGUGGUAGAAUUCUCACCUUCCAUGCAGGAAUCCUGGGUUCGAUUCCCGGUCCAUGUA